rnacentral:lncRNA from 1 species
UUUUCUACUUCUUCCCAGUGUUCAACAUCUGAUAGUGCUUGCGGGUUCUCCCCAGAAUAAGUCAAUCACAUUGAUUUUACGUGUACAACACAUACGAUCAAAACAGCCACUUUUUUUUUUUUUUUUUAAGACACAGGGUCUCUCUCUGUUGUUCAGGCUGGAGUGCAAUGGUACGAUCAUAGCUCGCUGUAGCCUCAAACUCCUGGGCUCAAAGUGAUUGUCCCACCUCAGCCUCCCAAAUCACUGGGAUUACAGGCAUAUGCCACCACACCUGGCCAAAAUGGCCACUUUUGAAGGUUUUGCAGGCGGCAGGUGCAAGAUGAAAUGAUGGUUGUUGGAGUGGUCAAGCAGUAUCCAGGCCACUGUCUAGUGGGGAAGCAACUUAUGAUCCAUAGGAGCAGCCUGUGGCAAUACUGUGGUGUGAUGGAGGUCUUUUGGGAGGACUACUUGGAUGUCAGCAAUUCUCAAUGAAAGAUCCAAGUCCUGCCUUUGAUAAGCUAAGAAAGAAUCUUGUCACCAGCAGUCUAGAGUCGUGACAUGGAUAUUCCCAGCCAAGACCAAUGGAAGCAAUGUGCAGAGGAAAGUUCCAACUCCAGGAAAAUAACGAAAGAAGGCAGUUUUCCCACGCUGUCUACCUCACCACAGAAAUGCAGAAAUCAGAGAGAGGCAAAUAGGUCCUGCCAUUGUUUUAGUCACUCCCAGGUGACUUGUGGGUUUGGAAUGAGUCAAUACUGGAGCAGAUAGGUGUUGGAAUAAAAGUAGGAGCUACUGCUACUGAUAAAACCAGCAAAAAAGUAGGGAAUGUGAGGUGAUUGAUGUGGGAAAAAAUGACCUUGAGGACUCUCCACCCUUAAAAGAUUACACAGAUAUUGAAGUUACUUCUGAGGAUGUGUGGUAGUGUUACUGAGUAUAAGAAAUUUAACCUUCCAAACAGGAGGUGUUUCUGUUGCAGGGCCUUGAGGAAAGAUUGGUAUUCAGACUCUUCUAAGUUAACCCAUUCUCUGUUAUCUUCUAAGUUAACCCAUGCCUGUUAUCACUGCUGUACCUCACAAAACAAGGAAAAUGAAGGAAAAAGAAAAUAAUGUCUCAGAUCACCAAAGAACCAUUACAGUUCCAGUUGUUAGAGCCAAAGAUCUAUAUGCUAAGGAAGAAAAACGCCAACUUCUUCCCUGCAGCUCAGCAGAUUUCUUGGAUUUGGCUCACAGUUCUGAAAGCCUAGAAGCCAUCUCAAGCUCAGGACAACAAUCAGAUAGCCUUUCAGAACAGAGAGCAGAUACAGAAUGCAUGCAGGACUGGCAAAACCUCUGGAAGUCAUUUGGCAUAUGUGAGAAAAGACCAGAAGACAGAAAUAUUAUUCAUGGAAGGAUAGGCCAUCUUGUCAUUUGUUUUCACUGUGCCAGAAGAUUAAAGAAGUCUGGUUUUCAUGCCUCCUUUGCAAGAAGAUUCAGCUGGCUAUUAAGGUUUUUAUGGCAUAG